AACGAACGCUGGCGGCGUGGAUGAGGCAUGCAAGUCGAACGCCUUUUGUCGUGUAGCAAUAUAUGGCAAAAGGAGUGGCGCAAGGGUGAGGAAUACGUGGGUAAUCUGCCUCCUAGAUGGGCACAACCUGGCGAAAGCCGGGCUAAUUCCCAAUGUGGCAGCUUCGGGCAUCCGAAGCAAUCUGAAGACGGGGACCGCAAGGCCUGUCACUAGGAGAUGAGCCCACGUCCUAUCAGCUUGUUGGUGAGGUAACGGCUCACCAAGGCUUACGGGUAGCUGGUCUGAGAGGACGAUCAGCCACACUGGGACUGAGACACUGCCCAGACUCCUACGGGAGGCUGCAGUCGAGAAUCUUUCGCAAGUGGGGAACCCUGACGAAGCGACGCCGCGUGCAGGAUGAA
rnacentral:rRNA from 1 species